AUGUCGUUGAUCAUUGCCACUUUUGCAGCCCUUGCUUUGUGCUUCGCCCCUGCUCCGGGUGCAGCGGCGACAGUCUCGGCGCGGCGUCCGCUGCGGGGCAGCGACACGCUGGUCUCAGCGCAGGGCAAGUUCGAGCUCGGCCUGUUCAGCCCGGCUGGCAGCUCCGACGGCCGGUUCUACCUCGGGGUCUGGUACAAGAACAUCCCCGGCCAGACUGUCGUCUGGGUUGGCAACCGCGCGAGUCCAUUGUCCGGUGUCGCCUCCGCCCAGCUCCGGGUCUCUGCCAACGACGGCAACCUCGAGCUCGUCGGUCCCACCGCUGCCUCCGCCUCGCUGGUCGUCGUUUGGUCAUCGAACCUGUCGUCGUCGUCACUGGGCUCGAACAACACGGCGGAGAUUCGCGACAACGGCAACCUGGUCCUCCUGGACGGCAGCAACUCCUCCAACUUGCUGUGGCAGAGCUUCAACCACCCGACAGACACGCACAUGCCAGGGGCAUGGCUGGGCGAGAACAAGCUUACCGGCGAAUACCAAACACUGACAUCAUGGCGGAAUGCCCAAGACCCCGCGCCGGGGAUGUUCACCGACACGUUGGAUCCCAACGGCACCAGCGAGUUCUUCUCGAUGUGGAACCAGUCCCGUACAUAUUGGCGGACCGGCGUCUGGACGGGACGCUUCUUCGCGAGGUACCCUGAGGGGACGAGAAAUCCCCUCCUCAACCAGACGUAUGUCGACACGCCGGUGUACCGGGGCGUCACCUACGUGCUAUACGACAACGAGUCCAUCGCACGCAUGGUGCUUGAUCUCACCGGGCAGGCGAAGCGGUACGUCUGGGUGCCCGCGAGGCAGACCUGGCAAUUAUUCUGGGUCGGGCCCACCAUGCAGUGUGACGUGUACGCUCUCUGUGACGCGUUCGGCGUAUGCAACCAGAGGAGCGAGCUGCCGUGCCGGUGCCCGUCCGGGUUCAUUCUGGCGUCGGAGGCGGAGUGGACGCUCAGCAACUGGAGCGGUGGUUGUCGCCGGAGUUCGCCGCUCACAUGCUCACGUAGCGGAUUGACGACGGACGGGUUCUUAGCACUGCAGGACGUGAAGCUCCCCGACGACUCGCUCGUCGUGGGCGCUGCCCAAAGCAAAGCGGAGUGUGAAUCCGCUUGCCAAAAUAACCGCUCUUGCCAGGCCUACGCAUUCUCCGCCGGGGGUUGCACCGUCUGGCACAGAGAGCUCAAGAACCUCGCGGACUCUGACAUCUCAGGGUCAGAACUGUAUCUACGGCUUUCAAAAAGAGGAUUGCAAGAUCUCCAAAGCGUAGACAGGAAGAAAGGUGGGAGAAAGUUAUGGCUUGUCCUUGGCAUCACAUUGGCCGGUGUUGCAGCACUGGCCACGUCGGUCAUACUAUCCUGGAGAAUUGUUUCUGCCCGGACGAGGAGACUGGUCAGCAUUGCAAACGUGAAUGGAUCCUCCUUGGCCGUGUAUAGCUACAACGACAUCCGUGCCGCCACAAAGAACUUUUCAGAGCGGCUGGGCGGCGGUGGCUUUGGCUCAGUGUACCGCGACGUCCUGAAGCAGCAAAUGGGAGACAACACGUCCCAAGUUCAGGUGGCAGUCAAGAAGCUGGAAAACCUUUGCCAGGGAGACAAACAAUUUCGGAUGGAGGUGAGCACACUGGGCUGCAUCGAGCACGUUAACCUCGUCAGGCUCCUCGGGUUUUGCUCGUCGGGCAACAAAAAGAUGCUCGUCUAUGAGUACAUGGCCAGAGGCUCCCUCGAUGGCUAUCUUUUCUGUGUAGGUGCAUGCCUGAGCUGGUGA
rnacentral:rRNA from 1 species